CAUCUAUCACUGUCGAACCUUCUACCCUGUCAAUUACCGAAGUUUGGGAGACAAAAAUAUUCACCGUGACCGUCACUGGACCACAGAUCAGCCAACAGCAGAUCAUGUCAGGUGCUAUAUUAUGGUUUAAUGAAGAUUAUGUGGUAACUCCACUUGUUGUGUAUAACUAUCUCCUUUACGAUCCGUAAUCAGAGACAUAGAUCUUCUCCAAGCCUGGC
rnacentral:lncRNA from 1 species